CAUGGAACCCAGGACUGGCCAAUGAGACUAAAAUAGGGAACUUUAGCUUGGACCAGUGACAAAGACAAGACUUCUCUUUCUACUGGACUUGAAUCUAGACACGCUUGGGGGCUGUCAUGCAGAGAAAAUCUGUCAAUGAGAGUGCCCAACAGAAGAAGGUGAUAUCAAAAGACAAAGAAAAACAAAGCACUAUUGACAUCAUUUGAGCUUCUGGAAUUUUCCAUUGGGUUAAUUAAUGACCCUCCCUCUCCACACAUAUAUGCAUUUGUUUGUUUUCUGCUUUGUUUUGUGUUUUGCUUAAAUCAGUUUAAAUUGAGUCUCUGUCACUUGCAAGAAAAGUCCCACUGGACAAACAACUUAGAAUUUUUUUUUUCUUCAAAAAUCACCAUGGACCCCUUCAACAGUGGGGCUGCUAUUUGAACACACCUGUUUGUGCCUUGACCUCACUCUUUUUUAUGUACAGACAAGGCAAAUCCUUUCCUGUCACUAAACACACCAACUCUCCACGCCACUGGCUUGCCCUUAAUGAUGCCGCCUGCCUCUCUCUAUACCAAUUUGUACCCUGUCCCUCCCACAGCACAGGACCUGCUCCACCCACCGUCCUGCUUUUCUAACACUGUCUACUCAAGUGAUCUUCAGCUACAAGACAGUAAACUUGACACUGAUCACAGUUUGGCAGCACCUUGCAAGGCAUUCCAGCUCACUGGCGCUCUGAAGUCACGCUUAUCUCCUCUUCCACUUCCCCUUGCUUUUUCCUAUUUGCAGUCGACAUAUAAAUUAAGGGUUUUGAACUACUGUAGCAAUAUGCUCAUACGCAGAUGCAAUCACCAUUCUAAAUGAUGGCUUUGCUCAUCCCCUGCUCGUCUUUAGAGAAUAAAGCCAGGCACGGUGGGAAUCCUCACAGUGCCAUCCAACCCAAAGUUCCUACUAUUCCGCAGGGGUUUGCUGGUGGUGUUUGUAAAAAUUCACAGAGAACUUUGCCUAAAACCUCCCAGUGGGGAAGGUAGAUGCAUGCAGAUGUCCUGAACCCCUCUCAAUGUCCUCUUGCACGUCACCUCCUCCUCCCCCGCUGCUCCUCUCCACUCGCUGACAUUCCAAAACCUUUCAAACAGUCAGGAACAUGGACAAAAGGAGGUGCCUGGUUACAUGCCCUGGGUAGGAUUCAUGCCUAUGCUGCUCCCCAGGGAGCAGAAUGCUACCCAGGUUGAUGUAUCCUGGUCUCCAGUCAGGAAGGCUUAGUUCAAAAAGCAUCCUUAAUUUUUAUUAUAAUAUGUUUUCACCGAAAAUCCUGUUUCCCUGGUGUUUAGACAAGAUGGGUAUUUUUCAGGAAAUGGGGAGAGACAGGCACACAUGUGUACAGCACAGUGGGUUACAACGCAGACUCUGGAGUCAGGAUGUCUGAGCUUAAAUCCAGGGCUGACCACUUGGACGCGCUAUUUGACACACUUUUCUUAUUUGUUUAAUAGGGAUGAUAUUAGAAGCUGCAUCAUAAGGCUGCUGGGAAGAUCAGCAAUGGUAAUGUAUGCAAAGCACUCAGCCCAGUGCUUGGCACACAGCAAGUGCUAGACAGACAUUUGCUACUGGGGAGCUGACUUCCCAAAGUGACCGAGGAGCCUGGUGGAUGCGAGAGCUCAUGAUGUCCAAAUGGUCUCUCGGAAGUCUGGGGAAGCUGGUGGACCACCCUGUCCCCCGAGUGUGGGAGUUAGGCAGUGCUGUAUUCAGUCCUGCCAGAGGGAUUCUCCAAGGGCCCUGCCUCUCUUCCACAGGCUGUUGCCAGGACCAAAGACAUGCCCAUCACAUGGGUUGGCUUCCAUUGGAGGUAUCUUUGCCUCAGCUGACGACAUGAACCCUUCUCUUCUAGCAACCUGUUUGUGUUGAUCAAAAUGUGUGAUUGCAGGUCCCAAGAAGAAGCUCUAUCUGUGGCAGCAGUUCUCAGUCAGAGGCAAUUUUACUCCCCAGGGGACAAAUGACGGGGUCUGGAGACAUUUUUGAUUGUAUCAAUUGGGGAGUGUGGGCUGCUCCUGGCAUCUAGUGGGCAGAGGCCAGGGAUGCUGUUGAACAUCCUACAAUGCAGAGGGCAGCCCCCCACAACUAAGAAUCAUCCAGCCCAAAUGCCGAUGGUGCCCAGGUUACGUAACUCUGGUCUAUACCUGUGUCUCUUGAAGUUUGGUUCUUGGGCUACCUGCAUCAGAAUAAGUUUGGGCUACGGGUUAGAAAUGCACAUUUUGGAGCUGAACCCCAGACUUACUAAGCGAGACUCUCUGGGGCUCCCUGCUGAUUCUGAAGAAGACCAUGGUUUAAUGGGAUUCCUUCCACGUGUCAUGCUUUGGAAAGUGGCCUUCGUGGGGCCUCCACAGACUCAUGUCCUCCUCUCUUGCUGUUUCGCUGACUCAUUCAGGAGACUGUGGAGGAUUAACACUGGAAGUUGCUUUAGGUACGGACACAUCUCCCCACCAGGUUCCAGGAUGUGCACAGGAGGAAACUGACAUCAUUAAGAGAAAAAAAAAAAAAGAAAGAAAGAAAGAAACCAUGCUAGGUAAAAUUCCAGAGUUGGUCACUGUUAUAUUCUUUCUUAUUUUCUUCCAUCUUAGUCAAAAUCAUAUAAAAAGGAAGUGGGGGAGGAAAAGCCGCAUGGAAGGAAGUGGAAAGGUGAGAGGCCUGGUAGCUGCAAAGAUGAAACUAAUGUUGAUUCUUCGGUGACGGAAGAGGAGGUGGCGAGGGGAGAGAUUUUAGGGUCCCAGCUCCCAGCCAGUCAACGGUGAGCCACUGACCCCUUCCUCUGUCGUCUCCAAGCAGCAGUGGCUCCUGCAUAGUCCGCAGGCCUGAGGUGAUGCCAGCUGACAAGGCCGUCAGCGACGAACAACCAGGGAAAUAUCAUUGGCCAUAUUUUUCUAACCUUCCU
ensembl:lncRNA